ensembl:lncRNA
CCAGGCUCUGCGGAAGGAAUGGAGACUCUCCGAGAUGAACAAGGUCCCUGACACCAUGGAGCUUACAGUCUAGGGCGGAGCGCAGGCCAUAAACACAAAUGUAAACUGGAAAGUGUGCCCCAUGUUGGGGACAGAUGACCGAGACCCUGUCUCUACCUGCCAGUAAAUGCAUAUAAAGUGGAAGAAGCCUGUCCCCAGACUGAGACACUGCCUGAGACACUGCAGGGGCUGCCACUCCACCAGGAGGCUGGCCAGCCCAGAGUUCCAGAGGAGGCCCAGGAACCAAUCAGAGUGUGAAUGCAAAUGAGAACCAGGCACCGCCCCCACGCGGCCCCCAAGGGGAACUGGCUCCGCCUCCGGUCUGCUCAGCGUGGGCAGAGAGGCUCUCUUUUACUUAGCAGACUAGUGGGGCUGCCCUGUGGGGAGGGGCAAAGGACACACCUAUGUCCAGGUAUGUUGUGUGUGUAUCCCCACCCCCGAGGACUGAGGGGAUGGGGACUCCAUAAGGUUUCCAUGGGGGAUGCAGGUUUUCGGGUCCCCAUGAUUCCACAAAUGGGAUGCAUGCAGCUGGCCUUGUGCAGAGUCUGGUCUCCAGCUCUUAGGGGUAAAAGGAUUUGAAAGGCAAACAGGCUCCGACUGGGGCUCAUGUGGAGAUGAGAAGCCAUCCGAGAAGGCAGAAGGCUUUGCUGCUGGUGUCACAGAGCAGAGAGGCAGCUAAGAUGGGUUCCUCCUCUGGGAAUCGAGAGACCUGGUUCCUGUAUCAGGUGUCCCCCCAUUGGCUGCACUAUGGUCAGUUGUUUGCAGGAAGAGUCACACUGUCCCCCUUCCUGUGUCAAUGUCCUCUGCACCAUGACGACAGCUAUCUCCUUCCCAAAAUUUGACUGGCCUUUCAAACUGCCAUGGGGAAUGGAAUCUGAGGGAGGGGACAGUGGGCCCCUUCUGAGCAAAAGCCUCAAGAAGUUUCAGGCACCACCACUCUCUCUCGCUCAAAACCUUGCCACUGCUCCAUGAAGAAGCCCAGGUCAGCCUGCUGGAGGUUGAGAGGCCUCCUCCAGUCACCUCAUCAUCCCUGCUGGCAGCCAGCCCACCCCAGAAGCAGAGCUGCCCAGCUCACCUGCAGCCAACCACAAGAGGAGAGCUAAAUCGCCAUCCAGCUGAGCCCAACCUACAGUGUCACCUUGCAGAAUUGUGAGCUAAGUAAGUGCUGGUUGUUUUAGGCCCCUACAUCUGGGGGUAGUUGUUACACAGCGAUAGCUAACUGAUACAGUGAUGAGCUUUGAUAAUAAUAAGGACGGCUACUAUUUGCUGAGAGCCUACUGUACGCCAGACCCAGUCCUGGGCUCUCAGAAUAGAUCAUCUCACUUUAACCCUCCCAGCAGCCCUGAGUGUUGUGGUCAGAUCCUCACUUUACAGACAAGAAAACUGAGGCUCAGGGAAGACCUGCUCAGGCCUUGUCCCAGCCUGACUGGAUGGCCGGAGGCAGAAGCAAGAUUGGAAUCACAAAUCGGUCAUCGUGGACCCUCUUCUGAAUCUCCUUCCCAGACAAGCCUCAAUGUCAGAGCAAGCCAGCAGCUCUGGAGAGCAUAAUGUAUUCUGCACACAGGAGCUGACGUCAUUAAAAUGUUCUCAGCCGUCUGCUCCCCAAGAAUUAUGCCGUGUCUUACCCUGCUCCUCUCUCACCCCAGCCAAUGCCUCUAAUUCCGUUGUGCUUUUAGAAAGACAAAGGCACAGAUGUGGGGAUCAUUUUUUUCUUUUUUAUUACACCUCCUAUUUAAUCAGAAAAUAGUUAUCGAGGGCCUGUCGUAUGCCUCUUCCCUAGCAUUGUUUCAUGACAUUUCCAGGAACCCUAUUGUGUGCCCGGCCCACGCUCAGCAACACUGGGGUAGUUAAGAUCAUCCCCACUUUACAGAUGGGAAAACUGAGGCUCUAGAGAAGUAAAGUGGCUGCCCUGAGGCCACCUAAAUAAUGAGUGGCUUUUUUUUUUUUCUUUUUAGGGCCAUACCCGCAGCAUAUAGAGGCUCCCAGGCUAGGGGUCAAAUCAGAGCUGUAGGCGCCGGCCUACACCACAGCCACAGCAAUGUGGGAUCUGAGCCGCGUCUGUGACCUACACCACAGCUCACGGCAGCGCUGGAUCCUUAACCCACUGAGCGAGGCCAGGGAUUGAACCUGCGUCUUCAUGGAUGCUAGGCAGACUCGUUUCCCCUGAACCACAGCAGGCACUCCUCCACUGUGGCUUUUUUAAAAUAUAUAUUUUUUUGCAAUUUCCCCUGGGGCCUGAGUAUGGCAGUUUAGGGGAUUGGGAGACUGAGAGGAGAAAAGCAGUAUCACGAGGGUUUUGGAAAAUGUUUCUGACUCCGAGAGCUGGCCGGCUCCCUGCCACGAUGCUCAGGCCCCAGUAACGCCGUGAGUGGCAGCAGGCCAGGGAGGCAGGAGCGUGUGCUGGAGGAGCGGAGAGAGAACCACAGGCUCCAUCUACUCCCCUGUGCCCGAGCUGACAAGUCCCAGCCAUCCUUCAUUCCCUCCCGCCUGCCCCGCCCCUCUGCUUAGCUGCUGGAGAGCAGCCGGCUUCCAGCACCAGGCAGUGGGCACAGUGCCCUGCCCCUCCUGGCUAAACUGUUUACAAAUGGGGCAUUCAGGGGCGGUCUAGGCUGUCUCCUACUCCCAGGGCGAUUACACACCCAGGCUGGUGGCUCAGUCACGGGCCUUUGAACGUUCUCAGAGCCCCACUCCUGCCAAGGCUGCCUCCUCCAGGCUGGCAGCAGGCUUCACCCGGAUGCCCUGAUCAGUCAGAGUCUAACGACAAAAAGCCUUCAUGUGGACCAGGAGUGCCAGUAGGCGUGUCUGCAGGUGGAAACAGGAAAGAUUCAGAGAUAUGAGGCUUGGAGGCUGAAGGGUUUUCUCGGUGAUCGGGGCGGGGGGGGGGGGGUUUAAAAUCCCACAACUGCACACGGCUCUCUUCCCCUGGGGCACCCUGGGUGCUGGUAAGACCCCUGCACUGGGGACCCUUGCUGGCGGAAAAACCUUUGUCAAGUCACUCCAUUUCUCUGGACCUCCAUAUCUUCAUCUUUAAACCGGAUGGAUGGGCUGGCGGAGGGGGGGCAUUCAGAACCAUAUACAUUCAGACGCUAAAAACUAACGUCUAGUAAGUAUUCAGCAUUCUACAUAUAUUAACUUAGUUAUUCCCCCCAACAACCCUCAGAUCUAAGAAUUCUUAGCAUCACCCCCAUUUACAGAUGAGAAAACUGAGGAGGCUCGGCAAGGUGAAAUAGCUUGCCCAGAGUCACACAGCUGGAAAGUGAGUGGCCACAGGGCAUUGGAACUGAGCCGCUUCCUCUCCCAGCCCAGGGACCCGGCCUCCUGGACGCUGGCCUCCCUUCUGGGGGAGGUACCACUGCAAAUGGGUGGACACCCUGCCAGAUUCAUCAGCUGCCUGCCAGGGGCCCUUCCACACCUGCUAGCCUGAGGUUCUGGACUGAGUCACCGGCCCUGCACCCCCUCCGUGCCGUGGACCCCUCUGCUGUGCUAAUGAGCUCAGAAAUGAGUCCUCUCCUCCGGCCGGAACAACCUUCCUCUGGUCUCCUGCCUAACCCUGCUCCUCCAUCAGAUCGGAGCUCCCCUGACUACACCCCUGGUGAUGCUGGCAGCCUUGCUGUGCCCUCCUAUGGCCUUUUUCCUCUUUCGUCCCAAGGUAAGACAGUACUGCCUCCCAACUGCCCACAUAUGGGCCACGAGUUCAAAUCCAGACUCUGCCCUUCCAAGCUGUGGGAACAUCCACGAGGAGGUUAACCUUCAAGUUCCUACUCUCAAAAACAGGCAUAAUCAUGGUCGCACCACACAGGGCUGCCGGAAGGGCUGAGUGCGUUUGCACAUGUGCAGGCUUAGAAGUGCUGCCUGCGGUGGAGCAGGCUCGCAGGGCCUGGCCCCCAGCACUCUUUUCCCUGCUUGGAGCGCUGGCAACAGUCAGCAGUAAUUGCUGGUCAAGGUUUGUAUCUUUGGUUGCAUUCUAAGUUCCUUAAGGGCAGGGAGGGCUUCUGGCUGGUUCUUUGCCAUGCCCCUAGUUUGGAACCCAAGGCCUGGCACAUAUGGGCAUUUGGUAUGUAUUUGUUGAAGAAAUAAAUGUAAUGAACCCCAUUUCCAUGAAUGACAUGAAAGGUGAUG